CAAUAGCGUAUAUUUAAGUUGUUGCAGUUAAAAAGCUCGUAGUUGGAUUUCGGGGCAGCCUGGCUGGUCCGCCGCAAGGCGAGUACUGGUCAGCCGCCCUUCCUCUCGAAAGCCCCGACUGCUCUUCGUUGCAGUGGUCGGGUAGUUCGGGACGUUUACUUUGAAAAAAUUAGAGUGUUCAAGGCAGGCCUACGCCUGAAUACAUUAGCAUGGAAUAAUGGAAGAGGACCUCGGUCCUAUUUUGUUGGUUUCCAGGGCCGAAGUAAUGAUUAAGAGGGACAGUUGGGGGCAUUCGUAUUUAAUUGUCAGAGGUGAAAUUCUCGGAUUUAUGAAAGACGAACAACUGCGAAAGCAUUUGCCAAGGAUGUUUUCAUUAA
rnacentral:rRNA from 1 species